rnacentral:rRNA from 1 species
UUAAGCGACUAAGCGUACACGGUGGAUGCCCUGGCAGUCAGAGGCGAUGAAGGACGUGCUAAUCUGCGAAAAGCGUCGGUAAGGUGAUAUGAACCGUUAUAACCGGCGAUGUCCGAAUGGGGAAACCCAGUGCAAUUCGUUGCACUAUCGUUAACUGAAUACAUAGGUUAACGAGGCGAACCGGGGGAACUGAAACAUCUAAGUACCCCGAGGAAAAGAAAUCAACCGAGAUUCCCCCAGUAGCGGCGAGCGAACGGGGAGCAGCCCAGAGUCUGAAUCAGCUUGUGUGUUAGUGGAACGGUCUGGAAAGUCCGACGGUACAGGGUGAUAGUCCCGUACACCAAAAUGCACAGGCUGUGAACUCGAAGAGUAGGGCGGGACACGUGGUAUCCUGUCUGAAUAUGGGGGGACCAUCCUCCAAGGCUAAAUACUCCUGACUGACCGAUAGUGAACCAGUACCGUGAGGGAAAGGCGAAAAGAACCCCGGCGAGGGGAGUGAAAAAGAACCUGAAACCGUGUACGUACAAGCAGUGGGAGCACCUUCGGGUGUGACUGCGUACCUUUUGUAUAAUGGGUCAGCGACUUAUAUUCUGUAGCAAGGUUAACCGUAUAGGGGAGCCGCAGGGAAACCGAGUCUUAACUGGGCGUUAAGUUGCAGGGUAUAGACCCGAAACCCGGUGAUCUAGCCAUGGGCAGGUUGAAGGUUGGGUAACACUAACUGGAGGACCGAACCGACUAAUGUUGAAAAAUUAGCGGAUGACUUGUGGCUGGGGGUGAAAGGCCAAUCAAACCGGGAGAUAGCUGGUUCUCCCCGAAAGCUAUUUAGGUAGCGCCUCGUGAACUCAUCUUCGGGGGUAGAGCACUGUUUCGGCUAGGGGGUCAUCCCGACUUACCAACCCGAUGCAAACUACGAAUACCGAAGAAUGUUAUCACGGGAGACACACGGCGGGUGCUAACGUCCGUCGUGAAGAGGGAAACAACCCAGACCGCCAGCUAAGGUCCCAAAGUCAUGGUUAAGUGGGAAACGAUGUGGGAAGGCACAGACAGCCAGGAUGUUGGCUUAGAAGCAGCCAUCAUUUAAAGAAAGCGUAAUAGCUCACUGGUCGAGUCGGCCUGCGCGGAAGAUGUAACGGGGCUAAACCAUGCACCGAAGCUGCGGCAGCGACACUAUGUGUUGUUGGGUAGGGGAGCGUUCUGUAAGCCUGCGAAGGUGUGCUGUGAGGCAUGCUGGAGGUAUCAGAAGUGCGAAUGCUGACAUAAGUAACGAUAAAGCGGGUGAAAAGCCCGCUCGCCGGAAGACCAAGGGGUUCCUGUCCAACGUUAAUCGGGGCAGGGUGAGUCGACCCCUAAGGCGAGGCCGAAAGGCGUAGUCGAUGGGAAACAGGUUAAUAUUCCUGUACUUGGUGUUACUGCGAAGGGGGGACGGAGAAGGCUAUGUUAGCCGGGCGACGGUUGUCCCGGUUUAAGCAUGUAGGCUGGUUAUCCAGGCAAAUCCGGAUAAUCAAGGCUGAGGUGUGAUGACGAGGCACUACGGUGCUGAAGUAACAAAUGCCCUGCUUCCAGGAAAAGCCUCUAAGCAUCAGGUAACAUCAAAUCGUACCCCAAACCGACACAGGUGGUCAGGUAGAGAAUACCAAGGCGCUUGAGAGAACUCGGGUGAAGGAACUAGGCAAAAUGGUGCCGUAACUUCGGGAGAAGGCACGCUGGUGUGUAGGUGAAGUCCCUGCGGAUGGAGCUGAGACCAGUCGAAGAUACCAGCUGGCUGCAACUGUUUUAUUAAAAACACAGCACUGUGCAAACACGAAAGUGGACGUAUACGGUGUGACGCCUGCCCGGUGCCGGAAGGUUAAUUGAUGGGGUUAUCCGUAAGGAGAAGCUCUUGAUCGAAGCCCCGGUAAACGGCGGCCGUAACUAUAACGGUCCUAAGGUAGCGAAAUUCCUUGUCGGGUAAGUUCCGACCUGCACGAAUGGCGUAAUGAUGGCCAGGCUGUCUCCACCCGAGACUCAGUGAAAUUGAACUCGCUGUGAAGAUGCAGUGUACCCGCGGCAAGACGGAAAGACCCCGUGAACCUUUACUAUAGCUUGACACUGAACAUUGAGCCUUGAUGUGUAGGAUAGGUGGGAGGCUUUGAAGCGUGGACGCCAGUCUGCGUGGAGCCAACCUUGAAAUACCACCCUUUAAUGUUUGAUGUUCUAACGUUGGCCCCUUACCGGGGGUUGCGGACAGUGUCUGGUGGGUAGUUUGACUGGGGCGGUCUCCUCCCAAAGCGUAACGGAGGAGCACGAAGGUUAGCUAAUCCUGGUCGGACAUCAGGAGGUUAGUGCAAUGGCAUAAGCUAGCUUGACUGCGAGCGUGACGGCGCGAGCAGGUGCGAAAGCAGGUCAUAGUGAUCCGGUGGUUCUGAAUGGAAGGGCCAUCGCUCAACGGAUAAAAGGUACUCCGGGGAUAACAGGCUGAUACCGCCCAAGAGUUCAUAUCGACGGCGGUGUUUGGCACCUCGAUGUCGGCUCAUCACAUCCUGGGGCUGAAGUAGGUCCCAAGGGUAUGGCUGUUCGCCAUUUAAAGUGGUACGCGAGCUGGGUUUAGAACGUCGUGAGACAGUUCGGUCCCUAUCUGCCGUGGGCGCUGGAGAAUUGAGGGGGGCUGCUCCUAGUACGAGAGGACCGGAGUGGACGCAUCACUGGUGUUCGGGUUGUCAUGCCAAUGGCACUGCCCGGUAGCUAAAUGCGGAAGAGAUAAGUGCUGAAAGCAUCUAAGCACGAAACUUGCCCCGAGAUGAGUUCUCCCUGAGACUUUAAGUCUCCUGAAGGAACGUUAAAGACGAUGACGUUGAUAGGCCGGGUGUGUAAGCGCAGCGAUGCGUUGAGCUAACCGGUACUAAUGAACCGUGAGGCUUAACCUU